AGAUGAUCGUGGAGGCUCCGGAAAGUCAAGUAGUUGGCUACGUGCAGGAGAACUGCAGCAUCUUUCGCUCCUUAUUUACUAUCCUCGAUGCCCAUAAAGAGCCUGUGCUUAAAGUGGGCGGCGUCAAAACCUGGUCAAUUCUUCCCUGCUGUCCAGCGAAAAAAGCUUUCGGGAUUGAAACUAAAGACCGAUCCCAUGUGAUUGGAUAUAUAAUCUUCGAUUCUGUGCCAGAAGUGGCGAAACGUUUGCAGCGUUUCAUAGUCGCCUAUCCCAAGGACCUCGACGUUGGAGUUAAAGCCACUCUCAUUGGCUGCGCAAUGCUGCUAAGAUACAUGUUUUACGACGAAACGUCCCAGGACUGCGCCACCUGCUGCGAUUGCGAUUUGUGCAGUUGUGAUUGUUGCACCUGUGAUUGCUGGUGGAAGAUGGGGACGUUGGGUCUGCGCGACGCACUCCGCUCUUAGUCCCCAAUAGACAAUUUUUCACUAGCGCCACGUCUUUAGGAAUGUAGUCGUGGAAGUUCAAGUAAAAGGAAGUA